rnacentral:tRNA from 1 species
UAAUGAUGACGAAGUUGUUGAGUGUUCACACAGAUUGCCUUGAUUCAAAGUAGUUAGAGCAAAGACCUGGUGCAGUGAUGCAUCAGCUUCUGUUGUCCAGCCUUCGGGAUGGAUGAGAGAAAACCUCUUCUGCCGGAUAACGGGAUGUGAAUAGCAGUUUACUGCUACCUGUUGUCUCAGUGCGAAAGCACUGCAAAGCAGACUCGGGGUCCCCUUCGUCUAGAGGCCUAGGACACCGCCCUUUCACGGCGGUAACAGGGGUUCGAAUCCCCUAGGGGACGCCACUUCUCUUCUUGCUAAAAGAAUGCAGACAUAAGCAUCACAUGUUUAUGUCUGUUUUCUUCGGCCUUGAGCCGUUGCAAACAUGCUCUUUAACAAUCUGGAAAGCUGAUUUAAAAAGUAGUUCUCAAACAUUUGUUACAAGUGCUUUGGAAACUUCUUGGCGAAAACCAAAUUUUAUUUGGUCCUUGUUGUACAGCAACAAGCUGUGCCGGUUUCACCGACACUUCUUGGGGUUGUAU